rnacentral:lncRNA from 1 species
UCCCAAAGCUAGACUUCUAAGGAAAAGUAACUUGCCAGUCCCCUUAAAAUAUGUAACUAAAAGCUAUCUACACUUUUAUAUUUUAAAUAUAUUGUUGGGGCUUCAUUUCAAAUUGGUAUACUGUAAAACUGUUUCAGAUAGCUUUAAAUCCAAGGCAGUGGCUUUCAAACUCCUUUGACAGCAACUUACAAAAAAAAAAAAUGAAAUAAUUUUUAUAUAAACCACUAUACAGACACACACACACACAAAACUAAUACAAAAGUUUUAUGAAACUUUACUUCCCCUUAUUACAUGUGAUACCCUCUAAUAUUAUCUACUCCAUUUUGUUUCAUUGUUUAUUAAGUGCUUGUCAUAAUCUAGUCACAUAGGUCAGGACGUGCAGUUUGAAAAACACUCUUCUCAAAUUAUGGAUUCCACGUACUCUAGCUGGUAGUCUCUUGUCCAGAUUUUUAAAAGGCUCAUCAAAAAGCAGGAUUUGCUAAAGGAACUUCAGUCCCCAUUACAGCACUGUCUUUGGGAUUCCUACCAUAAGUUUCCAGAUGAAUAAGCAGCUUUUCCUUUGCAGAAUUGUGAUGUAAGUUCAAGAGCAAGUGCACAGGACGUAAAAUAAGAAUAGAGUUGAAAAAGGAGGAACAUCUCCAAAUGCAAUGUGUGUCCCUCUGGAAAACAUAAAGCAGCCUAGAGUGAGGUGAGGGAGACAAAACAGAAAAAAAAACUAACAGAGAAAAGAUCAAGCUUGCAGCAUCAUAUCUCCAGGCUUUGCAAGGUGCACUUGUACUUUCAACCCCAUGAGACAGAGUGAUGUUCAGCAUGACUCCACUAAUCAUGUGGCCUUGAGUAUCUCAGCAGACAUCAGUUAAGUCAUUUAAAAGGAUAACUGCAACUUAAAUUAGUUCAUCCUAUUUAUGCAAAAAUGGUAAAUUCAAAUAAGCAAGGUAAUUUGCUUCUAUUUAUUUCAAUUUUAAAAUUUUUUUAAUCACUUGGCAUCUCAAAUCAAAGCAAAUGGGUAAUAUUAUCAAUUAUAUCUUAAAUACGUAAACAUAUGAACUGAUUUAAAACUCUUAUUUGAUAUGCACUUGUUAACAUUUGCACUAGAGUAGGGAACCACAUUCAAGACUUAAAACUUAAAACAGGGUCAUGUCCUUGAAAACAAAAGAACGUCGUCAGAAAAGCCCCCUUGUGAGAAUCUAGCAACAGAGUGAGUCCCUAAAAUCUGUUAAGCUAUUCCACAGGGAAAGUAUGGUAGAUCACACUAGUAAAGGCAAAACUGUGGAAGCUUAUGAAAUAUUUAUCAAGGGAAAUGUUUGAUAAAUAAUAAAAAUAUUCAGUUUUAGGAAGGAGUAUGAUGAGCUUCAACAUGGUUGCACUUAUGAGCACAGAACUUUCAUAGGAAAGAAAGAAGUAGAAAUUUAUUGAGUAUGUUUUGUCAGGCAUCACUAAAUACUUUCAAAUACAUUAUAGCAUUGGAAACUGGGAAUCAGAGAUGUUAAGUAACUUGUCCUAGGUCACACAGUGAUAAAUGACAGAGCUAGAAUUUAAACUUGAUCUUCUAAUUACACAUCAGUUUUUUUUCACGUUGAUAAUCAUUUUAUCCUGAAGCAGUACUCCAGAUAUGAUAAUGCUUAAAAUAUUUGCUUAAGCAUUUCCUAGGAUUUCUGAUCAAGGUGAAUUCAGAUUUCAGUUUCAAGGCUAAUGAAUGAUAAAGUGAUCUUUAAAAUAAAGAAAAUAGAUUAUAAAUAUGCAUGCAUUCUGAGUGGCAUAUGAAUCUCUCAAACAUUUGAUGAAGUGUUCUUCACGUCUCAUGUAAGGAUGAAAGAAAUUAUCUAUUGUGUAACAAACCACACCAAAGUGUAGUAGCUUAAAACAGGAACUUUUUUUUUUUUAAAGAUUUUAUUUUUUCCUUUUUCUCCCCAAAGCCCCCCAGUACAUAGUUGUAUAUUCUUCGUUGUGGGUCCUUCUAGUUGUGGCAUGUGGGACGCUGCCUCAGCGUGGUUUGAUGAGCAGUGCCAUGUCCGCGCCCAGGAUUCGAACCAACGAAACACUGGGCCGCUUGCAGCGGAGCGUGCGAACUUAACCACUCGACCACGGGGCCAGCCCCAAAACAGGAACUUUUUAUUGUCUCUUAUUGUUCUGUGGGUUGGCUGUGGUUGGCCUGACAGUUCUCUCCUGGGGUCUCUUAGGAAGUGCAGUCAGAUGUCAGCUGGGACUGCGAUCAUCUAUAGGCUCAACUGGGCUGGACUUCAAGAUGGUUCACUUCUAGGAUGGCAGGGGAUGCUGGCUAUCUUACUUGGGGCUGCCAACUUGAGGGCCUACAUGUGGCCUCUUUAUGUGACUUGGGCUUCUCUCAAAGUGAUGGCUGGGUUCCAAAAGAAAGCAUCCCAGAAGAAAUGUUCCAAAAGACCUAGGCUUCUUAUGGCUUAGCUUCAAAAGUCCCAGAAACUCUCUUCCACAGCACUCUGUUGGUUGAGCCAGUCACUGAGGCCUAGGCAGAGGGACGUAGACUCUGCCUUUUGAUAUGAGAAGCAGCAGGCAAUAAGGGAGGGAGGGAGACUGCCCAUCUCACCUUAGUCUUUAGCCUCCCAUCCUGGCAUCUCUACUUUAUGCAACUGAGUUAGAAGGGGAAAUAUAUAAUACAACUACAAUAACACAAAUUAUUGUGUGGUGUUUUCCUAUUUUUUUGGCACUGUCUCUUUCUCUGGAAGCACAGCCCUUCUUAAAUGAAUGAAUAAAUGAAAGUCUCUGGUCCUCCCCUUCCCAUUCUACUCUUUUGUUCCCUCGUUGCCUCUCUUCUGUUUUCUAUCCUUCUUUCUAACUGAAGAUAAAGGGUGUAAAAACAUUUUUUUUUUAAAAGAAGCAAUGUACUCUAAUCAGUUAAUUAACCUUAUGGUUAAUUUCUCCCCAAAUCUACCAUUUGAUAUCUGCCUGACUGAUUCAAUCAUCAUUCUAUAUAGGAAGGUAAUAAGAUAAUUUCUUUAAAUGCAGGCAAAGGAACAAGAGGGAAAAACGGGAAAGAAAAAGUAGGUUACCAAAGGAGGAAGGAAAAUAUAAAUGGGAAGUGAAACAAAUCAGGAAGGUUGAAUGAUAUUAAACCCAAAAGGCUGAAAAAACAAAAGGAAAGAAGCCAGAUUCUCCCCUUAUAAUACUGUGUCCAUCCUGCCUUCCUUUCCAGUCCAUUGCCACCCAUCACUAGCCGAGUCUAACCUUGUUUCUUAAUGCCUGAAUUAUUGCUGUGUCAUCUUACCUACUCUCCCUGCCUACGGUCUUUAUCCUCUUAGAAACCAUCAAAAGCACCAUUUUCCUCAUGGUGCUCCCAAUUUAAACAAAAAGAAAAAAAAGAAACACUAAAUGACUGCUGAAGAAUGAAAUCCAAUAUAAGCAUUUGAAUGAUUUUCAUAAUCUGACCUAACCUUCCUUGCCAUUGUUUCUCAAGUCUUCCCUACAUGAAACUAUUGACUCAACCAGGACGCUCUACUCACUGAAUCCAAAUACACAGAAAAAUGAGCCUAGAUCCCACUGUUUAUUACAUCAUGAAAAAUAUCAAACCUGAAACAAGGAAAAAUAAUUAAUAAACAGCAAAAAUCUGUUUCACAAAGCAGUGUGGCAACAUUGUAAGCUUAUAAUUACAGCACUUGUGGUCCAGAUCACUUCUUAGGCAUACAGCCUUCUUUUUGUCUUCUGUCCUUUGCUCUAACAGAUCCUAUCACCAGGAGUUUUCCCUGCUGCUGUCUGCCUUAGCAAAUCCUGUCUCACCGGAACCCGCAAGAAGUCCUCCUCUUCAUGGAAACUGAUGAUCCUUCCUCUUGCCCAUGAACCCACCUGGAGGAGUCAAGCCCAGCAUGGAUGCCAGUGAGUUGGGUCAAAGCCAGGGAAAGGUCCUGGGAUCAAGAACUGGAUGAGUAGAGUGAAAAUUUCUGAUCAGCCAGAAGUAGAAAGAGCCAGAAGAUAAACCAAACCCAUUUUCCAAGGAGUGCCAAAGGUGAAAAGCAGGAAAGCCAAAAUACUCAUCAAGACCAAAGGGGGAGCACAGAGCCAGAAGCUGGGAGGAGAAAGGGAGUCAAGAAAGUCAAUGCCAGGAACUGCUAUGCUAGCUGAGGCACAUGGUACCCUGUAAACCUGAAGAGAUGCUCAGUGAGGCACUGCUUCCUGCAUGAGACACUAUAGUAACCCAAGGCCAGAUCACCCUCAGGUUGAGGAUAGCCUGCACUAAGAGUCCUUCAUCUUGGUUUAACUUUAAGAAGUCAAAUGGAUGCAUGAGAAAGCUCCACAGACCAAAUCCAAGAUCUUAGCCAAGCCCCAAAGUAGCCUGUUACACAUUCUUCUGGAAGUAAUGACUGUACUAGCUUCACAUCUUCAUAACUAAAAAGGGCCACUUGAAGGGCCCAGAACAAGGUUUGCACAAAGGCACAAUGAUUUCUGCUACCUCAAUAGAUGCAGAAAAAACAUUUGACAAAAUCAAAAUCUCUUCCUGAUCAAAAUACUCAUCAAACUAGGAAUACAAAAUCCUCAACUUGAUAAAGAGCAUCCAUGGAACCCCACGGUGCACAUCAUACUUAAUGGUGAAAGUCUGCAUGUUUCCCCUAUGAUCAGGAACAAGCAAGGAUGUCUGCUGUCACCACUUCCAUUCCACAUUCUACCUGGUGGUUCUACCCAAGGCAACCGGACAAGAAAAAGAAAUAAAGACACCCAGAUUGGAAUGGAAUAAGUAAAUCUAUAUUUCCAGAUGACAUGAUCUUGUAUAUAGAAAAUCCUAAGGAAUCUACAAGGACCCUAUUAGAGCUAAUAAAUGAGUUCAGCAAGGUUUGAGGCUACAGGUCAAUGUGCAAAAAGCAAUUAUGUUUCUAUACACUAGCAAUAAACAAUCUGAAAAUGAAAUUAAGAAGGAAAAUCCCAUUUACAACAGCAUCAAGAAGAACAAAAUAAUUAGGAAAAAAUUAAUAAAAGAAGUACAAAACUUGUACUCUGAAGAUAUAUGUAUGGGAUAUGAAGAAUUGAGAACAUUCAUCCUCUGCUGAAAGAAAUGUAAGUUGGUAUCACCACUUUGGAAAGACAGUUUGGCAUGAUAGUAAAACUGAAUAUGCACAAACCCUUCAAUUCUGCAAUUCUGUUCCUCGGUUUAUACACCAGGGAAUAUGUACACAAAUGAGCAAGAAGUCACAUUCAUAAUAGCCCCAAACUGAAAAAAAACGUGCAUAUGCAUUAGUGAUGAGCUGGUUUAGUAAAUCGUGACAUAGUCAAACAGUGGAACACACUGUAUAACCAAUAAUAUGAAUAAACUACGGCUAAAAAAGCAUAUCAAAACUAUAAUUCUGAUUAAAAGAAUUAAAUCUACAUAACUCCCAUUUACAGAAAGUUUAAAAACAAGAAAAUUCAGUAAUACAUUUAUAAUAUAAGGAUAUAUACACAUAUAAUAAAAAUAUGCAUGGAACUGACCCUGUGGCCCAGUGGUGAAGUUCCCAUGCUCUGCUUCGACAGCCCAGGGUUUGCUGGUUCACAUCCUGGGCAUGAACCUAGCAGCACUCAUCAAGCCAUGCUGAGGCAGCAUCCCACAUAGAAGAACUAGGAGAACCUACAACUAGGAUAUACAGUUAUAUACUGGGGGACUUUGGGGAGAAAAAAAAAGAGGAAGAUUGGCAACAGAUGUUAGCUCAGGGCCAAUCUUCCUCACCAAAAGAAAGUGAUAUAAUUUAAAAAUAAUAAUAAAACUAUGCAGAAAAGCAAGAGAAUGAUUAACCUAAAAUUAAAGUUGAAGGGUGUCAGAAGGAGCACAAGACGUCUUCUGGUGAACUGGCAAUAUUCUGUUUCUUAACCUAGAUAUUGGAUAGUGUGAUGGUUAAUUUGAUGUGUCACUUGACAGAACUAAGGGGUGUAUUUGUGGGGAUGAUUUCAGAAGAGAUUAGCAUUUUAAUUGAUAGACUGUGUAAAGAAGAUGGCCCUCCACAAUGAGAGUGGACGUCAUCCAAUCCUUUGAGUGCCCACAUGUAUGGUAGUCCCCCUUUUCUGUGGUUUUGCUUUCUCAGGUUUUGGUAACCUGAGGCCAACCGAGGUCUGAAAAUAUUAAAUGAAAAAAACCAGAAAUAAACAAUUCAUAAGUUUUAAAUUGCAUGCCAUUCUGAGUAGUGUGAUGAAAUCUCACACAGUCCCACUCCAUCCUGCCAGAGAUGUGAAUCAUCCCUUUGUCCAGCAUAUCCACACUGUAUACACUACCUGCCUAUUAGUCACUUAGUAGCCAUCCUGGUUCAGUGCUUGCAUUCAAGUAACCCUUAUUUUACCUAAUAAUGACCCCAAAGCACAAGACUAGUGAUGCUGGCUAUUGGGAUAUGCCAAAGAGAAGCCAUAAAGUGCUUCCUUUAAGUGAAAAGAUGCAAGUUCUAGACUUCAUAAGGAGAGAAAAAAACUAUAUGCCAAGGUAGCCAAGAUCUUCAUUAUGAAUGAAUCUUCUAUCUAAGAAAUUGUGAGGAAGGAAAAAGAAAUGCUAGUUUUGCUGUCACACCUCAAAUAUGUAUGUAUAGGAAAAAACAUAGUAUACAUAUAAAGUUUGAUACUAUCCAUGGUUUCAGGCAUCCACUGGGGGUCUUGGAAUGUAUCCCCAUGGAUAAGGUGUGAUUACUGUAAUGGAAAGGCAGAGGAAGGGCAAUUCCUUCUCUCUGCUUGAGCUGGGACAUCUAUCUUCUCCUGCCCUUGGACUUUGGUGCUCCUGGUUCUCAGGCCUACAUGCUUGGACUGGAACUAUAUCACUGGCUUUCCUGGGCCUCCAGCUUACAGACAGCAUAUUGUGGGACUUCUCAGCCUCUGUAAUCAUGUGAGCCAAUUCCUCAUAAUAAAUUUCCUUCUGUAUAUCUCUAUAUAUCCUAUUGGUUCUGUUUCUCUGGAGAACUCUUACUAAUACAGAUACAAGGGUGUUGUUUUAUUUUUUCACUUUAAACUGUACAAAUACAUUGUAUAUACUUCUGUAUGUAGGAUAUAUCAUGCACACAUGCAAUUGGGAUCUUAUCUGCUUAAUAUACAAGUCCCAGCAGCAGUGAGGGACUCAGGAAAAUGA